GCAGAUUUAGUUUAGCCAAAACACUAGAUUGUGAUUCUAGAGACGGAGGUGAAACCCCUCCUAUCUGCC
rnacentral:tRNA from 1 species